AUUGAACGCUUGCGGCAUGCCUUACACAUGCAAGUCGAACGAACUCUUCGGAGUUAGUGGCGGACGGGUGAGUAACACGUGGGAACGUGCCUUUAGGUUCGGAAUAACUCAGGGAAACUUGUGCUAAUACCGAAUGUGCCCUUCGGGGGAAAGAUUUAUCGCCUUUAGAGCGGCCCGCGUCUGAUUAGCUAGUUGGUGAGGUAACGGCUCACCAAGGCGACGAUCAGUAGCUGGGCUGAGAGGAUGGCCAGCCACACUGGGACUGAGACACGGCCCAGACUCCUACGGGAGGCAGCAGUGGGGAAUCUUGCGCAAUGGGCGAAAGCCUGACGCAGCCAUGCCGCGUGAAUGAUGAAGGUCUUAGGAUUGUAAAAUUCUUUCACCGGGGACGAUAAUGACGGUACCCGGAGAAGAAGCCCCGGCUAACUUCGUGCCAGCCGCCGCCGUAA
rnacentral:rRNA from 1 species